GAUUCCGAUUUUCACCAUACAAGUUUCAUCCAUGUGGUUAAAACAAGCCAAGCUUCAUGAUUUUCUUCUAAUUUAAAGUUUUUUUUUUAAUAGUUUUAUAGCUUUUUGCAGUUUUUUCUGAUUUUCCGGUAUCAGAAAAAACAUGGGGCUGGCAAAUUAUUUUAUACAUCCAAUGUCAUUAUGCAACUACACAGAGCAGAGCUCAGAUGCUGGCAACCAAUCAGAUGCUUCUUCAGUCACAGACAUGGAAAAUGGCUUGUGAAAAACUCUUUCUGGCUGAGAGUGCUGAGACCCAGAAAUCACAAAGACCGGAAUAAUGCAGGAGGCACCUGCAGGAAGGUGUCAAUGAGCCAUGUAUUUGAGAAAGUCCCCAUGACGCCUUAGUAACUGCAAAUUUAGCAUCCCAGGCUUCCCUGCUAGUACGUAUUACUGAUUUUUAGUGGUAAGUAAAUUUGAGUUUAGUCAAUACUUCAUAUCUUGCAUUCAUGCAUUACCAAGUCCGAUAAAACAUAAAAAUUAUUUUAACCUUAUUUUACUAAUUGGUGGAAUUUGGUUGAACUUUAUUGGUUGGAAAUCAUCAAUUACAGUGACUAAUUAAAAUAACUAACUACUGUAAAAUUUUUAAACUUCAGUCAUCGGCGUUUAGAAGUGGUGGACCACCGAAAAUAGUCCAGCAAGGUUUACAACUUUGAAUGGUCACCCUGUAUAUAAAAGAUGUAGCAUAUAAUUUUACUAUAAAACAUCAUAUGCCUAAAUAGAAAAUAAAAUUAUAACAAAGAAAGAAAUUCUCUGAGCAAAUUCCAUUUACCGACAAACCUCCGAAGUUGCAAAAAUUCUUUUUCUGUAAAAAGCUCUGGAAAAUUUACACGUCAAUAUGCAAUAUUUAAGAAAUAAUAUAAACUUCAAAGGUUAUCUUUCGGCCAAGCUCAAUAAGUACGACGUAAUAUCCUUUACUGAUCGCUUUAUGGAUCAGAACGAAACAUAGAUUUUUAAACUGUAUGAAUUUGUUCAUAUAUCAUUUGUAGGUACGCAAGUAUUUUAGCAAAAAUGCACUUGGAUUUUGGCCCGGUAAAAAAAAUGAAAUGAAGGAAUUCAUUGUGACCUCACACUAGUGACUAUUAAAUCAGCUAAUACAAAAAGCUUGGAAAAUUUUUACAAAACGACUUAAUAACUUGUUUUAAUUUUAGACACAUUAUAAAUAAGCCUAUUACAGGAAAAAAACUGCAUGGACAAUAUUGUAACUAACAUGAAAAUAUCAAAUAAGGUUUGUAAGACCACAAAACUACAUCCGCAUCGCUAAGAGUAAUAUUGCAUCAGGAUACAUGUUGCCAAAGAAAAUAAUAGUAAACUAUAGAAAAUCCAUCCCGUGUAAAUUUUUUGACCACCUAAAAGGAUCCCCGCUUUUCGAGCGAGGAUCCAUCGGUGAAAUUACGCGUUGAAAUCUGGCCGAUCACUUGGCUGUGUUGCAAAAUUUAAUUCGGCGGCUGCGACUCGGCUGAGCAACACAAUAUUAUUUUUGUUAUUCGCUCUUGUGACGGACGUAAUUCUGUUAUUUUUUUAAAAUUUUGUCAUUGGUUCUGUAAUACAUAAUGUCGGGCAAUGUAUGCCAAUAUUAUGACUGUAGGCGAACUAGAAGAGAGAAUCCUACGUUAAAGAUGUUUAAAUUUCCUUAUAAAAAUCCAAGUAUUUGCGAACGUUGGAUUUUAAAUUGCGGUAAGUCCUAGAGUUCUAUAAACAUACUCAACCUUAACAGUGCCUUAGUAAGUAAGUACAGGGUGUUCCAUUUAAGAGGAAAAACGGCAUAUUUUUUGACUUUCCCGGUAUAUUUAAAAAAAUUGAAGAUAGCCAAUCGACGUAUUUUAACUCGGAGAAUUUGAAAAUCGUAAUAAGAAAACAAUUUCAUAAAAAACAAAAAAGACUGACGACAUUGUUUUCUUAUUACGAUUUUCAAAUUCUCCGAGUUAAAAUACGUCGUUUGACUAUCUUCAAUUUUGUAAAUAUACGGAAAAAGUAAAAAAUAUGCCGUUUUCCCUCUUAAAUGGAACACCUUGUACCUAAAGUUCGUUUCAUGGGUCUUUAACUGUGGCUCCUAGAAGAGCCAGGUAUAAAUACGUGGAUUUUUACGCAAAGUUACAGCUGAAUACCUGUGAAAUGAACAUCACCUACAAUCUAUAUCUAUCUCAAGUUUUAAUUGGGAACUAUUCGGCAAUGAAAAUUACAGUUAACCAAAAACUAUAAUUUUCUGACUUUUAGGUAAAUGAAAAAUGUCUAAGGUGGUAAAACUAUGAGGUGAUGUACAAAGUUAAUUUUUGAAUACUGAAAAUUAAAUUUAAAGAAUAAAAAUAUAUAAUACCGAUUUAAAUAGUCAAAUUACUAAACAAUAAUUACUUUGAGAUAAAACCUUAAAAAUAGUACCAUAACAAAUAAUAAUAGUUAUUUAUUAGAGUAAAAUAGGGGUUUUAAAAUUACUGCCUUCGCUAAAGCUCGUGUAGUAAACUUCAUCAUUUUACUCCCUAUUAAUCAUUUUACUGCCUCAUCUGUAAAAGUCAAUAAAGUGAACUUUUUGAGUGAAGGCGAAAAAUAUAUUAUUUUAUUUUAAUAUACUGAAUCUUCUAAUCUUGACCAACUUUAAAGUAUACAAACUCAAAAAUUAGCGAAUCGUCGAAUUUAGAUCAUCAGGUUAACAAAAAAUAUAAGUUACGCUUUUCUUUUUAAAUAGGUAGGUAUUUAUAUGAUACCGAUUUUGGGGAAGUUUGAGGAUCGUUGAUAUAAAUAUUUUUGAUAGAAUUUCUCUUUUGCGCGCCAUCGUUUUUUUGUGCUCAUGCAGUUUUGUAUACUUAGUGUUGCCAUUGCUAAGUGGGACACAGGAAAUCCCAUGUUAUUUUUUAUAGGGAUUGGCUUUCCUCUUUAACUUAGAGAAAAAAGUAUUACAAUUUAUUAAAGAGCACUGAAAUCUACAGCCUAUAAAAUAGCACGUCACGCACAGACAUUUUUUACUUAUUUAAAUAGCUUAAAUCUCUACCACUUAUUACUUUGAUAGUCAAAAUACCUUUGACAUAUAUAUCAAUUCACGCCGGUUCUGUGAGCUUUAUUAAGCUUUAUAGCCAAAAAUCUAUAUAAAAAUUAAAAAAUUAUCUUUUUUUAUUGCAAUGUAUUUACAGGUAACAACCAACAUUUUUUUAUCUUGACUAGUGGACCGUUAAAUAAGUUUGUCAUUUUAUACAUGACUACUGUAUUGGUAGUAAAUAUAGUAGUUCAGUCCAAAAGAUGUUUAUUUUGUCCAAAAAAUAUUUUAUUGAAUAUAAAGCGCAAGAUUGUUUGAGUCUCAAAAUAAAGAACAAAAUUAUUGCUCAAAAAGAGAUUUCUACUUGGCUAGGAAGUAAGGACGAUUCUUGUUACUCACACAAACUUUUUUUAGUGCAUCAUUUGGUUAUCACCAAUAUAUUUAAAUUUUGCAAAUGGGACGAGCCUUUAAAAAAAGAACAAAAACAAAAACUAAAAAAUUUAAAAAAUAAGUAGUUUUUCGUACUAUUUGUUAUUAUCAAGCUUUCUUCAUUAUACAGGGUGUCCUACGAACUGACGCGAUCGAUAUAUCGAAAACAAUUUUUUCAGUUGGUAACAUGAUAAGGCUAAUGGAGACAUAUGACUAAAAUAUGUUCAUGAUGAUGGCAUUUCCAAUAAUACCAUAAGUUGUUGCUAACUUCCUUAUUUUAAAAGGUACGCUCUACACUUCAUUUAAUUUUUUGAUUCUACGUUAAAUUUGAUCUACGAAAAACAUUCAUGAAUGAAUGUUUUUUACUAUUGAAGGAUAUCUCUAAAUUUUGUGUUCUUAAGACGCAUGCCAAUUAGCCAAAAUAUUUAAAAAAUAUUCGUAUUUGAUUAAGAAUGUUACUGCGCCUGUUAAAAAUUUGACUCCAAUUUAUUUCAACACCCUGUACCAAAUUUGGUACACUUAUGUUUUAAGUGGUCCUGAACAAUAAUCCAGUACCAUUUUUCAAAAAUAAAUAUCGUUAAUACUACUUCCCGAUUUUUCGCACUUCAAACUUGAAUACAGUAGGCCAUGACCUGCUUUCAUUAAAUGUCAAACUUGCCAUUUUUGACCAUUUAACCUCCCUAUCCAACAAAAAAAAGCUUUUGAAAAUUGGUCAAGAAACAAAAAUUUUAGAGGGGUGGCUAACCUUUAAGUGGGACACACUGUAUAGACAUAAUUUAGUAUAAGCUAAUGAACAUUAACUUCCUGUGUAACCGGAAGUGCCACUAGCAUAAAAAUAUUUAAGUCGUAUGCCUCCCCAUCCUUAUCAACCCUAUCAAAUUGCGAGAUUUUAUAAUUUCUUGUUUUCGAAAACAAUUCUUUUGUAAAUGGUUUUCGACUACGUUCAUCCAGGGACACGCUGUAUUAAAAAUGUGCAUAUUUUAUUUGCAAUUUUUUUGUCAACCGCUCAUUUUUUUAACUAGUUUGUGGAUUUUUUAGGGAGAAAAUUAAGAAAACAAUACCCAUUAAUUGCAUCAAAAUGUAUGUUUUUUUUUAAUCUGAGACACCCUGUAUUCUCAUAUUUAUGAAAAAUCCUACAAUUUGAGUUUGAA